AAGAAAAAGAUGGUGGAUCUGUGGACCGAUUUGAAUGCUUGAUUUCAUGAUGGACAACAUUGCUGCAUCCUCAAGAACCCUUUCAAGAAUGGCAAAGCAACGGGAGGUCUGCGUGACAGCGAUGGAGAGGCUGCAUCAUAGAGAAGGACAGAGAAUUGGGGGAAGGAGCAUUUCGUGGUGAUAGAUGAGUCACUUCAGACAUAAAAGAAAGUAUGGAAGGGGCAGGAUGGCUGGGG